rnacentral:rRNA from 1 species
AACGAACGCUGGCGGCAUGCCUAACACAUGCAAGUCGAACGAGACCUUCGGGUCUAGUGGCGCACGGGUGCGUAACGCGUGGGAACCUGCCUUUAGGUUCGGAAUAACUCAGAGAAAUUUGAGCUAAUACCGGAUGAUGUCUUCGGACCAAAGAUUUAUCGCCUUUAGAUGGGCCCGCGUUGGAUUAGCUAGUUGGUGGGGUAAAGGCCUACCAAGGCGACGAUCCAUAGCUGGUCUGAGAGGAUGAUCAGCCACACUGGGACUGAGACACGGCCCAGACUCCUACGGGAGGCAGCAGUGGGGAAUAUUGGACAAUGGGCGAAAGCCUGAUCCAGCAAUGCCGCGUGAGUGAUGAAGGCCUUAGGGUUGUAAAGCUCUUUUACCCAAGAUGAUAAUGACAGUAUCGGGAGAAUAAGCUCCGGCUAACUCCGUG